UACGAAGGGGGCGUAGCGUUGCUCGGAAUCACUGGGCGUAAAGGGUGCGUAGGCGGGUCUUUAAGUCAGAGGUGAAAUCCUGGAGCUCAACUCCAGAACUGCCUUUGAUACUGAGGAUCUUGAGUUCGGGAGAGGUGAGUGGAACUGCGAGUGUAGAGGUGAAAUUCGUAGAUAUUCGGAAGAACACCAGUGGCGAAGGCGGCAUACUGGCCCAAUACUGACGCUGAGGCGCG
rnacentral:rRNA from 1 species